UACGGAGGGUGCAAGCGGUGUCCGGAUUUAUUGGGUUUAAAGGGUGCGUAGGGGGCCUUGUAAGUCCGUGGUGAAAGCCUCUCGCUUAACGAGAGAACUGCCAUGGAUACUGCAAGGCUUGAGUCCAGACGAGGUUGGCGGAAUGGAUGGUGUAGCGGUGAAAUGCAUAGAUACCAUCCAGAACCCCGAUUGCGUAGGCAGCUGACUAGGCUGGUACUGACACUGAGGCACGAAAGCGUGGGGAGCGAACAGG
rnacentral:rRNA from 1 species